ACUGACGACGUUGAAUGAUGCGCUUGCCUUCUUUCCUUGUGUCGCCGACAAAUCGCCACAAUCCGUCGACGAAAAAAAGAAAGAAAGAAAGCGCGAGAGACGAUCUGGGGUCCUCUAUCACUGGUUGUAAAUAUUCC
ensembl:miRNA mir-8210 ncRNA